ACGAACGCUGGCGGCGCGCUUAACACAUGCACGUCGAACGGAAAGGCCCUGCUUUUGUGGGGUGCUCGAGUGGCGAACGGGUGAGUAACACGUGAGUAACCUGCCCUUGACUUUGGGAUAACUUCAGGAAACUGGGGCUAAUACCGGAUAGGAGCUCCUGCUGCAUGGUGGGGGUUGGAAAGUUUCGGCGGUUGGGGAUGGACUCGCGGCUUAUCAGCUUGUUGGUGGGGUAGUGGCUUACCAAGGCUUUGACGGGUAGCCGGCCUGAGAGGGUGACCGGCCACAUUGGGACUGAGAUACGGCCCAGACUCCUACGGGAGGCAGCAGUGGGGAAUAUUGCACAAUGGGCGGAAGCCUGAUGCAGCAACGCCGCGUGCGGGAUGACGGCCUUCGGGUUGUAAACCGCUUUCGCCUGUGACGAAGCGUGAGUGACGGUAAUGGGUAAAGAAGCACCGGCUAACUACGU
rnacentral:rRNA from 1 species